UCAGACGCGAAAGCUAGGGGAGCGAACGGGAUUAGAAACCCCGGUAGUCCCUAGCUGUAAACGAUGUGGACUUGGCGUUGGUGGGGUAAAAGCCAUCAGUGCCGUAGCUAACGCAAUAAGUCCACCGCCUGGGGACUACGGUCGCAAGGCUAAAACUCAAAGGAAUUGACGGGGACCCGCACAAGCAGCGGAGCGUGUGGUUUAAUUCGAUGCUACGCGAAGAACCUUACCCGGGUUUGACAUACUGGUGGUAGGGAUCCGAAAGGUGACCGACCCUUCGGGGAGCCAGUACAGGUGCUGCAUGGCUGUCGUCAACUCGUGCCGUGAGGUGUCCGGUUAAGUCCGGUAACGAGCGCAACCCUCGCCGCAUGUUAUACGUAUCAUACGGGACUGCCGGUAUAAAGCCGGAGGAAGGUGGGGAUGACGUCAAGUCAGCAUGGCCUUUAUGUCCGGG
rnacentral:rRNA from 1 species